AGACGGUGUUGAUUAUCGCUGGA
rnacentral:siRNA from 1 species